rnacentral:rRNA from 1 species
UACGAAGGGGGCUAGCGUUGCUCGGAAUCACUGGGCGUAAAGGGUGCGUAGGCGGGUCUUUUAAGUCAGGGGUGAAAUCCUGGAGCUCAACUCCAGAACUGCCUUUGAUACUGAGGAUCUUGAGUUCGGGAGAGGUGAGUGGAACUGCGAGUGUAGAGGUGAAAUUCGUAGAUAUUCGCAAGAACACCAGUGGCGAAGGCGGCUCACUGGCCCGAAACUGACGCUGAGGCGCGAAAGCGUGGGGAGCAAACAGG